GUUGAGAGUCGUUAUGAGUAGACUAGUGUGCUGUGUAGUAGAGGGAAGGACAGGCGAGGUAAAAGCCCAAGUCUCUGGGCUUACCGCUGUUCAGGUGCUUUUGCGUAAAGGGUGUUCCCUUUAGCCCCUCCCCCUUUCCAUCUUCCAGUGUUGCCUGGGGCACGUUCUGCCAAGGUGACGCAACAUUGAAAAGAGCGUCAGAAGGCUGGGCUGCAGUGCGCCGUCAGCUGCACAGCCCACCACUGUGCAGGCCGGACCUCUUCCAUGUGACGGCGAUGCUGUGUGUUGAUCAUCUGCUCUGGCUCUUUCCACACGCCGAAUUCUUCAUCCCAGAAUGUUCCUUCCAAUUGGUGGUAGAGUGGCCACGCCCCCAGACAUGGGAGUCCCUCCCAAAUACCAGAGUCGAUUUUGUGAGUUUUCCAGAGUAGCUAACACUCUGAGGUUGGCUUACUAAUUCCUAACGACAAUGAACAAGUGGUCCUUGGCUAAGCCAGGUCUCAUAGCGUCUCAGAAAGUUUCAACCCAAUGGCCACAAAGUACAGGGCCACCCAUUUCUUUUACAACUGCUGGUGAACUCCCCAGACUUUCUCAAACACGGACGCAUUGACUGAAUCUCUUUGAUGGAAUAUUAAUGGUACAGAAGUACAUUCUGGAGACUUAAGAAAUACUAGGUGUUGAUAAAAACAAUAGCAUCUUGGAACACAAGCUCUCCCCUUCUUGUUGCUCAGGCACAGUCACCGGAGUUAGUGGCAUCAAAACUACUGGGCGACCAUUUGCACUCAAGAAUGUGCAGGGCGCUGAAGUGUUUUCAACAACCAGCAGCUUCCGAGGCUCCGUGAAUUCCCAGAUUACAGGUGCUUCGAAAUGCUCACACGUAAGGAACCAUAACAUGAUGCACUUAUAAAGGACUGGGCAGUUCCUUUCAGCGCACGCCUUUAAUCCCAGCACUGGGGAGGCAGAGCCAGGCAGAUCUCUGUGAGUUCGAGGCCAGCCUGGGCUACCAAGUGAGCUCCAGGAAAGGUGCAAAGCUACGCAGAGAAACCCUGUCUCGAAAACUAAAAAAAAAAAAAAAAAAGGAAAGAAAGCCUUCCCUUUGCUUGGCAGAGAUCUGAAGACAGCUGUCGUCCUGGAGCACAUCUGUAGCCUGCAGUGAGUCCUGACAGACUUGAGGAGGUGGCCGGAUGGUGAGUGCAAACUUGAACUCGUGUACGGAUCAGUGUGUCUUUGGCUUAUUCCUUCUAAAGACAUUCACAACCACUUCCACGUCUCAAGAAGAGGAAGAAAACUGCCCCGGGCGCGGGAGCAGGAAGCGGGAUACGCUUUUACGAUUUCCACGUGUGGCUUGAGUUUUCGUCUCGCUUCCACCCUAAGUAAACCGGUGACGCCUUCUCAGAGCUCAGCUUUUAUUUCUUUGUUUGAAAAGGACCUAAUAACAACCCCCUACCUCUUUCUCUCACAGCGCUCGGAAUCGUGAUAGGUGACGGAUAUCGAAGCCCCCACUUUAAAGCAGAAAUCCCCCCCCACACACACACACACAAACAUACAUGACAAGGAUGCUUUGGUUGCCUGGGAACAGAAGCAGCAGUAGCGGCUGCCCCUCCGUGCUCCUACAAAUUAUGAGAAAAAUGACCAUGGUGCUGAGACGUUAUCCUGCUUGUGUAAAUGAACAGUCAUCUCAGCAGUAAUUUGUUAAAUAGAGAAACAGAAAUCCUUUGUGAAGACAGGGGGUUUUAUAAAUGUUUGAUUUGACCCAAUCCGCUGUAGUCCUUACGGCUACCCAGCCUCCCCCUACCGCUGGCUUUAAUUGCAUGUCACUGCUAACUUCCUUGUAAAGAGACAGGCCUCUGCCAUUCCUUCUAAUUAUCCAAAUCACCAGCCACUGUGUGUGGCCUUACCUAAGGCUUUUAACCAGAAGUAAUGUCACUAAAUCAAAGUGAGUGGGAGGUGUCCCUGCCGCAAUGACUAAUAAAUGUUACAUGACAUUCUUUAAGCCCGUUGAAGCUACUCUCUCUGCGAGCCCGAGUCUAACGCGAUAACUCAUCAGUUACGAAUAUCAGAACCACAAGCCCGUAUGCAUACCACCUUUCAUUGAAGAAACACAGUGCGGAAGAGGAGACCUCACCCCCAGCCCCAGCUGUGAGAGCGCGUUUUGAAAUUCAACGUAACUAUGUAUCUGUUUCUAAAGAAAGCUACAUCAAACCCAGCUGCUAGCACACAGGUUGGGAAAAACAUCUUCAUAUACAUUAUGCAAUGUAACCUGUGUAUUCCCGUUUAUGGUUACUGUGGCCCCAGUACAGUUUGGAACACCAAGGCCUCAUGAAGGUAAGUAAUUUGUGCUACACAGCUCUAAAGACAAGCAGAGCGGGCCCGAGGAGAAGCAAGGCGCAGAGGAGGCCGGGGCAUACCUGUCUGAUUCUCUAUGUGUACAGUUACUUGAAUAUCAAGAACAUACUAUGUGCAUUUUGAAUAUUUGGAGCCGCAUAAGAAGCUGCUAAAAUACAAUAAAUAACUUGUCUUGUGAAAA